rnacentral:rRNA from 1 species
AGUGAACGCUGGCGGUAGGCCUAACACAUGCAAGUCGAACGGCAGCACAGUACGAGCUUGCUCUUACGGGGGGCGAGUGGCGGACGGGUGAGGAAUACAUCGGGAUCUACUUUUUCGUGGGGGUUAACGUAGGGGGACUUACGCUCAUACAGCAUCCGCCCUACGGGGGAGAGCGGGGGAUAUUCGCGGCUUGCGCGGUUGAAUGCGCGGAUGUCGGAUUAGCUGGUUGGCCGGUGGAAGGCCAACCAAGGCGAGGAUCGGUAGCCGGUCUGAGAGGCUGGUCGCCGACAUUGGAACGGAGACACGGUCCAGACUCCUACGGGAGGCAGCAGUGGGGAAUAUGGGACAACGGGGGCAAGCCUGAUACAGCCAGACCGAGUGGGUGAAGAAGGCCUCCGGGUUGUAAAGCCGGUCUGUUGGGAAAGAAAAGCAGCAGGUUAAUACCCCGCGGUUCUGACGGUACCCAAAGAAGAAGCACCGGCUAACUUCGUG